rnacentral:rRNA from 1 species
UACGAAGGGGGCUAGCGUUGCUCGGAAUCACUGGGCGUAAAGCGCACGUAGGCGGCUUGUUAAGUCAGGUGUGAAAUCCUGGAGCUCAACUCCAGAACUGCCUUUGAUACUGGCGAGCUUGAGUCCGGGAGAGGUGAGUGGAACUGCGAGUGUAGAGGUGAAAUUCGUAGAUAUUCGCAAGAACACCAGUGGCGAAGGCGGCCAACUGGUCCGGUACUGACGCUGAGGUGCGAAAGCGUGGGGAGCAAACAGG